GCUGUCGUGGUGUAACGGUAGCACAUUCGGCGCGUAUUCGAGAGGUUCAGGUUCAAAUCCCGGCAAUGGCA
rnacentral:tRNA from 1 species